rnacentral:rRNA from 1 species
AGAGUUUGAUUCUGGCUCAGAUUGAACGCUGGCGGCGUGCUUAACACAUGCAAGUCGAACGCGAAAGUGGCUUCGGCCACGAGUAGAGUGGCGCACGGGUGAGUAACGCGUGGAUAAUCUGCCUCUGCAAUUGGAAUAACGACUGGAAACGGUCGCUAAUACCGGAUACGCUUAAGUUUUACCUCUUAAGGAAAGAUGACCUCUAUUUAUAAGUUAUCGUGCAGAGAUGAGUCCGCGUCCCAUUAGCUUGUUGGCGGGGUAACGGCCCACCAAGGCGACGAUGGGUAGCCGAUUUAAGAGGAUGAUCGGCCACAUUGGAACUGAAACACGGUCCAAACUCCUACGGGAGGCAGCAGUGGGGAAUAUUGCGCAAUGGGCGAAAGCCUGACGCAGCGACGCCGCGUGAGGGAUGAAGGUCUUCGGAUCGUAAACCUCUGUCAGAAGGGAAAAAUGUACAGUGCCCCAAUCAACACUGUAUUGAUGGUACCUUCAGAGGAAGCACCGGCUAACUCCGUGCCAGCAGCCGCGGUAAUACGGAGGUGCAAGCGUUAAUCGGAAUUACUGGGCGUAAAGCGCGCGUAGGUUGUUUUGUAAGUCAGAGGUGUAAUCCCACGGCUUAACCGUGGAACUGCCUUUGAUACUGCAUAACUUGGAUCCGGGAGAGGACAGCGGAAUUCCAGGUGUAGGAGUGAAAUCCGUAGAUAUCUGGAAGAACAUCAGUGGCGAAGGCGGCUGUCUGGACCGGUAUUGACGCUGAGGCGCGAAAGCGUGGGUAGCAAACAGGAUUAGAUACCCUGGUAGUCCACGCUGUAAACGAUGGAUGCUGGAUGUCGGGGCGCAGGCUUCGGUGUCGUAGUUAACGCGAUAAGCAUCCCGCCUGGGGACUACGGUCGCAAGGCUGAAACUCAAAGAAAUUGACGGGGGCCCGCACAAGCGGUGGAGUAUGUGGUUUAAUUCGAUCAACGCGAAGAACCUUACCUGGGUUUGACAUCCACGGAAUUUCUGUGAAAGCAGGGAGUGCCCGCAAGGGAGCCGUGAGACAGGUGCUGCAUGCUGUCGUCAGCUCGUGUCGUGAGAUGUUGGGUUAAGUCCCGCAACGAGCGCAACCCCUAUGCACAGUUGCCAGCAGGUGAAGCUGGGCACUCUGUGCAGACCGCCCGGGUUAACCGGGAGGAAGGUGGGGAUGACGUCAAGUCAUCAUGGCCCUUACACCCAGGGCGACACACGUACUACAAUGGCACAUACAAAGGGCAGCGAAACCGCGAGGUCAAGCCAAUCCCAAAAACUGUGUCCCAGUCCGGAUAGGAGUCUGCAACCCGACUCCUUGAAGUUGGAAUCGCUAGUAAUUCCGGAUCAGCAUGCCGGGGUGAAUGCGUUCCCGGGCCUUGUACACACCGCCCGUCACACCACGAAAGUCGGUUUUACCCGAAACCGGUGAGUCAACUAGCAAUAGAGACAGCCGUCUACGGUAGGACCGAUGAUUGGGGUGAAGUCGGAACAAGGUA